GCCCUUUUUGAAAUUACAAAUUUUAAAAUACCGAAUCGAAUUUUAAAUCCCUUCUGGUUUCACAAGCCAAUGCAAAUGUUACCUUGAUGUUUGCUUGCUUGAAGUUUCUGCAGUCUUUACAUGAAUUUGAUACUAGGACUUGUUUUCAUUUAGAGCAAUCCAUAUGAUCUGUAUAGCUGCAGGUGUUCAUUUAUUCAUUGAGAAGAG
rnacentral:misc_RNA from 1 species